rnacentral:rRNA from 1 species
AUUGAACGCUGGCGGCAUGCUUUACACAUGCAAGUCGGACGGCAGCACAGAGAAGCUUGCUUCUUGGGUGGCGAGUGGCGAACGGGUGAGUAACAUAUCGGAACGUACCGAGCAGUGGGGGAUAACUAAUCGAAAGAUUAGCUAAUACCGCAUAUCUUCUGAGGAAGAAAGCAGGGGACCAUUUGGCCUUGCGCUGUUUGAGCGGCCGAUAUCUGAUUAGCUAGUUGGUGGGGUAAAGGCCUACCAAGGCGACGAUCAGUAGCGGGUCUGAGAGGAUGAUCCGCCACACUGGGACUGAGACACGGCCCAGACUCCUACGGGAGGCAGCAGUGGGGAAUUUUGGACAAUGGGCGCAAGCCUGAUCCAGCCAUGCCGCGUGUCUGAAGAAGGCCUUCGGGUUGUAAAGGACUUUUGUCAGGGAAGAAAAGGGCGGGGUUAAUUCUCCCUGUCUGAAGA